rnacentral:rRNA from 1 species
GAUCCUGGCUCAGGAUGAACGCUAGCUACAGGCUUAACACAUGCAAGUCGAGGGGAAACGACAUCGAAAGCUUGCUUUUGAUGGGUGUCGACCGGCGCACGGGUGAGUAACGCGUAUCCAACCUGCCCACCACUUGGGAAUAACCUUGCGAAAGUAAGACUAAUGCCCAAUGACAUUUAUAGAAGGCAUCUGAAAUGAAUUAAAGAUUUAUCGGUGAUGGAUGGGGAUGCGUCUGAUUAGCUUGUUGGCGGGGUAACGGCCCACCAAGGCGACGAUCAGUAGGGGUUCUGAGAGGAAGGUCCCCCACAUUGGAGCUGAGACACGGUCCAAACUCCUACGGGAGGCAGCAGUGAGGAAUAUUGGUCAAUGGGCGAGAGCCUGAACCAGCCAAGUAGCGUGCAGGAAGACGGCCCUAUGGGUUGUAAACUGCUUUUAUAGGGGAAUAAAGUGAGCCACGUGUGGUUUUUGCAUGUACCCUAUGAAUAAGGACCGGCUAAUUCCGUG